rnacentral:rRNA from 1 species
CAGCAGCCGCCGCGGGAAUACAGAGGGUGCGAGCGUUAAUCGGAUUUACUGGGCGUAAAGCGUGCGUAGGCGGCUUUUUAAGUCGGAUGUGAAAUCCCUGAGCUUAACUUAGGAAUUGCAUUCGAUACUGGGAAGCUAGAGUAUGGGAGAGGAUGGUAGAAUUCCAGGUGUAGCGGUGAAAUGCGUAGAGAUCUGGAGGAAUACCGAUGGCGAAGGCAGCCAUCUGGCCUAAUACUGACGCUGAGGUACGAAAGCAUGGGGAGCAAACAGGAUUAGAUACCCGAGUAGUCCCUGUCUCUUAUAC